AGUCCACAUAUAAUAUAAUCAUGGUAUCACAACACAGAUAGUUGUAUUGUGUGUGCCUUGUAUCAUGAGAGGUAAUAAUUUGGAUACCAAAUAUGACUCUAGCAAACAGAUAUUAAAAUAAUAUGCUAGUCAGAAGUCAUACCAUGUCUGUGACUAUCAUCAAGUCUUGGAUAACAACUGAUAGAGAGCUGGUGAAGAAAGAGCAUACAAAUUCUGUUGGAUCUGCAACUGCAAAGCCCUUGAAAUGUUGCAUGAAGCUUCAUCUUCUAGCUCAGUGUAAUAUCCUGAACCCGAGUCUUGUCAA
rnacentral:lncRNA from 1 species